UACAGAGGUGGCAAGCGUUGUUCGGAAUUACUGGGCGUAAAGGGCGCGUAGGCGGCCAUCUAAGUCAGACGUGAAAUCCCCCGGCUUAACCUGGGAACUGCGUCUGAUACUGGACGGCUAGAGUAUGGGAGAGGGAUGUAGAAUUCCAGGUGUAGCGGUGAAAUGCGUAGAUAUCUGGAGGAACACCGGUGGCGAAGGCGGCAUCCUGGACCGGUAUUGACGCUGAGGCGCGAAAGCUAGGGGAGCAAACGGG
rnacentral:rRNA from 1 species